AUAUUUUUUUUUAAAGCUAAGUUCUUUUACCCCUUUCAUUUCUUAGCCUUUUGAUUAAAAACAAACUGAGGCAGUAGCUAUGUGCGAUUAAAGACUUUGAUUUUGGAGCUCAACUCACUGGAAUGAGCUUGAGUUGUUUAUCUUGCUUAUGCUAAGUGUUGCUUCUAUAAUUCUAAGAGUCGAGGCUUUACUAGGGCUUUACUAAUCUGCCAUCAACCUAUGAGUUUGGCUAAAAGAAGCUGAUCCUUUGAUUAUUAAAGCUUGUUACUGAUGUGAGGCUCCUACAGCCAUAAAUCUAUGUUCUUGAGCCUAGCAUGAUGUUCGAAAAAAAAAAAGCAGAGGGUGUGCUUGUGUUAUUUUGAUUGAGAUUCUUAAGUUGUGGUGCCUCUAUAUGAUGAUAUGUAAAUUUGACUGGGAGAAGGGGUGGAGGUGGAAUACCUCUUGAAGCUGCGGCUGCUUUGAGAAUUCAGCUCUUAAAACCUCAGCUUUCUUCCUCUCAACUUGCUAUGUUGCUGGAAAAAUUUGAAGUGUGUAGGAGAGUGAUCAAAGGUGGUGUGGAGGGGAUUUUAUAGGCAAGAGUGUGGCUGGUAGAAACAGGUGCUGCAUAGUGUGGAGGAUUUGCAGGAUUGACUUUCCCCUCUUGGUGAGUCUUUGGUCCUCCAUAGCAAAAGGAAAGGUGAGAGAGAAAUCUUGGCUACUACCUAGCUGUACCUCGAGCGGGCCUGGGUUCGUUGUCUGGGCCGACGGGCUGCUCGAAACGGGCCCUAAUUUGGGCCUGGAGAAAAGGCCCGAAGUGCACCCAAAAUUUUAUAUUUUCCUUUCCUUGUUUUCUUUCUUUGAGGACUUUGAUCCAUGUAACCUAUUUUAUUAGUUGUUCAUUUUAUUGAACA